UACGAAGGUGGCAAGCGUUACUCGGAAUUACUAGGCGUAAAGGGCAGGUAGGCGGUCUUGUUAGUCUGUUGUGAAAGCUCCUUGCUUAACGGGGAGAGGCCAACAGAUACUGCGAGGCUUGAGUAUAGGAGAGGGUACUGGAAUUCCCGGUGUAGCGGUGAAAUGCGCAGAGAUCGGGAGGAACACCAAUGGCGAAAGCAGGUACCUGGACUAUUACUGACGCUCAGCUGCGAAAGCUAGGGGAGCAAACAGG
rnacentral:rRNA from 1 species